UGCAGUCGAGCGCAGGAGUUAUCUGAUCCCUCUUUUAGAGGUGACGAUAUGGAAUGAGCGGCGGACGGGUGAGUAACACGUAGGCAACCUGCCUGUAAGACUGGGAUAACUCGUGGAAACGCGAGCUAAUACCGGAUAACACUUUUCAUCUCCUGAUGAGAAGUUGAAAGGCGGCUUUUGCUGUCACUUACAGAUGGGCCUGCGGCGCAUUAGCUAGUUGGUAAGGUAAUGGCUUACCAAGGCGACGAUGCGUAGCCGACCUGAGAGGGUGAUCGGCCACACUGGGACUGAGACACGGCCCAGACUCCUACGGGAGGCAGCAGUAGGGAAUCUUCCGCAAUGGACGAAAGUCUGACGGAGCAACGCCGCGUGAGUGAUGAAGGUUUUCGGAUCGUAAAACUCUGUUGUUAGGGAAGAACAAGUGCCAUAGUAACUGAUGGCACCUUGACGGUACCUAACCAGAAAGCCACGGCUAACUACGUGCCAGCAGCCGCGGUAAUACGUAGGUGGCAAGCGUUGUCCGGAAUUAUUGGGCGUAAAGCGCUCGCAGGCGGUUCUUUAAGUCUGAUGUGAAAUCUUACGGCUCAACCGUAAACGUGCAUUGGAAACUGGGGAACUUGAGUGCAGAAGAGGAGAGUGGAAUUCCACGUGUAGCGGUGAAAUGCGUAGAGAUGUGGAGGAACACCAGUGGCGAAGGCGACUCUCUGGUCUGUAACUGACGCUGAGGAGCGAAAGCGUGGGGAGCGAACAGGAUUAGAUACCCUGGUAGUCCACGCCGUAAACGAUGAGUGCUAGGUGUUUAGGGGGUUUCCGCCCCUUAGUGCUGAAGUUAACGCAUUAAGCACUCCGCCCGGGGGAGUACGGCCGCAAGGCUGAAACUCAAAAGAAUUGACGGGGGCCCGCACAAGCGGUGGAACCAGGUGGUUUAAUUCGAAGCAACGCGAAGAACCUUACCAGGUCUUGACAUCCUCUGAACACUCUAGAGAUAGAGUUUUCCCUUCGGGGACAGAGUGACAGGUGGUGCAUGGUUGUCGUCAGCUCGUGUCGUGAGAUGUUUGGGUUA
rnacentral:rRNA from 1 species